CUGAUGCGUCUCUUGCUGAUCAUCAGUAGGACGUGCUGGUAGCCUAGGGAUAUCAUUCUCGAGCACAUAUCCUAUUUUCUCACAAUUCAGAACAAUUUUCAGGUUCCUAAGCCAGUCUUUAUAGUUGGUUCCGGUCAGUCUGUUGGUCUUAAGGAUUCGGGUCAAAGGGUUUGAAGCUGACAUUGUGAUCUAUAGAGAGUAAAGAUUCUAGUUAGACUUUGUACUUGAACUUAAUUUGUUCUAGGGACUUUUAAAACAAAUAUGCUCCCACUAUUUUCUCGAAUCCUUCAUACUCCCCUGAUGGAGAAACGAAAAUCCUACGCGACUAGGAUUUCUAGUGGGUACUGCGGUCUCACCGAUUUAUAUGCCGCCUCACCUAACAGUUAUUGGUGACAUAUAAAUGGAUGAGUGUACAACUCUUGUACAAUGCUUCUCAAGCAAAUUGCAGUGGUACUUGGUCUCUAAGUGAUGAAGACCUCACCUAACAGUUAUUGGUCCCAUUACUUAGUUAAGUCAU
rnacentral:lncRNA from 1 species